UUAAUGUACGAAGACAAUUAUUUUUUCUAAUAUUUUUCAUUUCAGAGACCACGUGCAAAGGCUACUACGAAGAGACAGCAUGCUGAACGAGCUGGUGAAGGACCCUGUCCUCAGUAUCAUUCUCAACGAUUCCCCUCGUCCCUCCCAGGGGCCGAAGAUACCGACCCUUAGAGUGGGCUCAACGCAGGAGUCCCCAGUGUGCCAGGCACAGGAAACAAUCAUCUACCCUAUGCGUGGCAAAACACCAAAGAAUGAUUGGGUCUUUGUUGUCAAUCAGCAAGAUGUCGAGCAAGCAAUCAAAGUUGAGAAAUGCAUCAAGGAUGGCAGUAACUGCAACUUUGGGAUGCCAAUUCAGGGAUCUACAACAGCAGUGUGUCGCCAGAAGUAUGUAUACAAAAGGAUGCUCAUAGUGGGAAGUAAUGCCAUCGAGCCCGAGGAGGUUCUUAUGCCAUCUUGCUGUGUCUGUUAUCUUGGGAACCAUGAUUUCGACAUACAUGCCUCACCUAGGAAAUAAAUAUGGAUUCCCUCGUAUCUUGCCUAUCAUCUUUGAAUAGGUAGUCAUCACUCCAAGACAAAAGUUGGUUGUAUGUCUUAGAAAUACUGUAUCUGGCAUCAUUUCUCGUAUUGCAAACGUCACUGGGCAGCCUGCAAAUGUUACACCGAAAAACAAUCCUCCGAGUACAUCAUUCCGUCCCAUUGGUUUUGUUGACAGCCGUAGUAACAGAAAUAGCUAGACACCUUUCAUAUUGAAGAUUUAUAUUGAAUUGUUGAGUUUUAUGUUAAUCUAACUUAGAAGAGAGUUUACAUUAUAAAGUUAUUUUUGAGCUACUAAAUCUCGUAACUAAUGUGCCUAUCUGGUCAAAUUGGGAGUCAUUCGGAGAGAGAUUGGUAUGAUCGUGAACAGAUUUAAUGAAUAAAUUAGUAAGAUAAUAGAAACAAGUUGCCAUUUCUUGUUAAAACUGGAUUCUUUAUCUGAUAAACAUGUAUCAUAUUUCCUCAUGAAUGAAUUAUUAUAACUAAAUAGACUUCCACUCAUAUGAGCUCAUUUGGUUAUGAAAAAUGUAAGCUUUGUUACUAUUCAAAGUAUUGAUGAAUUUUGAGAUAAGUUAUACCCAUUAUAAUUAUCAUUUAUAUGUUAAACAGAAGGAUAGCUACCCCUUUCUUUGCACAAUAAAAAAUCACUUUCUUCUAACAUCUAUCUACACAAAAUUUAUAAAACCCAUAAUAUCAGAUUAAUUUUGUAUGAUUUUAAUGCAACUCGCAUGUCCUAUGUGUAUUAUCACAAAUGUAACUACAGUAUGCCAUAUUAAAACAACAAGAAAACACGAAGUUCCCAGCGCUUUUUUGUAAUUCAUAUCUUCAGAUUUUCGUGUAGGUCACGUGAAUGCUUGUAUUGUACUGUACUACAACCGCAUUAAUGUAUUUUCAUCACUUGUUAAUGUGCGAGGUCUCCCACAAGUGAAGACGAUGUUACACAAGCACUCACACGAUCUCCACGAAAAUCUGUAAGACAGUCUGCAUACAUUUGUGAUACACCCUGUAUAUGUUUGUUUUUCUAAGAUUGAUUUGUAAAUUUUAAAAUGUAAAGCUGGGUUGUCUUCCUAAAGCACUAGCAUUUUAGAUUAUGAAGUCUUCUAUUUGAAAUUUGAUAAUUUACUUCAACUCAAAUUGUUUGUAAACUCAAACACUGGAUGUUGUAAUUGAUAAACAUUAUUGUUAAUUUGAAACGAUCAUUGUUGUUCUUUGAAUGUCUCAUGCUUUAGUAGGUGCUGUUAACUUAUAUUGGCACUUGUAGAAGUAGGCUGGUUACUUUUAUUGUGAACAAUAUUUAGCAAAAUGAAUAGAGGUAAAAAGUUAUUCUAUAUACCCAAAAUACCCUUUCUGGCUUUACAACUACCUGUAUACAGUAAUUGGCUCACUGAGUGUCUUCUCCACGCACAUAAUACUCCACUUUGCUGGGCACAGUGUGAUGUGAUGUGAUGCUACUUAUUACAGUAAAUUAUGUAUAAUGGAUGUCAAUGACAAUUGUAUACUGACGCCAUUAAACCUUUGAUGAAGUAAUAGGAUUUGUGUCUGUUGCAAAUUAUGCCAAUAAACUGUAGUCACCUAAAAGAUUUUGAAUAAAAAAGCAAAAUAUU